GCUGAUACUCCUUAUACGAUUUAGAACUUAUUUGUUCGUAGUGUCCACACAGAUGAUUGUUAGUUAGUUUUACCCUUUGGGUUUAACUGAUUAAUAUGCUCUUUAAAAAUUUGGAAAAGCUGAUAAUAAAAUUCUGAUAGAUACUUUGUAUUUAUCAAGAGUUUUCAAAAGUAAAAAAGAAUGAUAGCAGUAUCAUUCAAUGCCAAUUUAAUCAUUCAUGAUUAAUUGGUAUCUACUUUAGUAUUCAAUAUUAACUUCUGGCGAAGUUAAACUGUCACAUAACAAAAACCCGUUUGGGUUGUAUGGUUAAGUGACUAACCGUACACGGGGGAGGCCUGGGA
rnacentral:misc_RNA from 1 species